rnacentral:lncRNA from 1 species
CGGUGAGAUUGCAACAGCACGGAGGGGCUGGUGGCCUGCUUUGCUGAGAAGACCCCCAAGGGGAAGGUGACUUCUUUUUCUUUCUAAAAAGGGUGAAAUGGCUCAACACACACCAUGGUGGCUGAGUACUGUCCUGCCCUCUCCUGGGCUCAAGUGCAGAGGUGAGAGAGGGAAGCUUACGGCCUGCUCUGUGAGGCCAGGCAUCAGAGCAGGCAGAGGUCAGAACUGUUGCCAAGGGAGGGGUGACUUUCCUAAUCUCAAUGUGAAGAUCGAUUCAGUUCAAUGAGUUAAUAGACUUGCCUAGCACAAAGAAAGCCCAACAGAACCACUGUUCUUAUUAUUGUUUGCACUAAGUAAUUAAACAUCUUCAAGUAGAUGCUAAAUGGCUUUUGCAGAUAGUGCCCACAAAACGUGAUUGAUAUGUUCUACUUACAGGCAGAACUGGGUAUCAUUCCCCACCCCUACUCCAUCCUCCAUUUCCCUUUCUCAUUUCCAGAUCCUCCCGGCAGCUGUCAGCAUCAGCCAGUCCCUAGACUCAAAUCCCAGCAGCUCGAUGACAAGUUCCGUGGACCUGGGCAAUCUUGGGUCUCAUCUGGAAAAUGGGGUGCUGCAGGGAACGAAGGGAAGGGAGAGGACACAGAGACCUGGUUCCCGUCCUCGGGGAACCUGCACUCUUUGCAGACAUGAUGACAGGGUGUGGGCCAGCACCGCCACAGCGUGAUGACCACUGUGUGACUGGGGCCUAGCCGCGCACUCGGCAUGUCACACGCUUCUCUUGUUGAACCCGUUUAAAAACAACCUGCAGGGGCUUCCCUGGUAGCUCAGUGGUCAAGAAUCCGCCUGCCAACACAGGAGACACAGGUUCGAUCCCUGAUCCAGGAAGAUCCCACAUGCCGCGGGAACAACUAAGCCUGUGAGCCACCAAUUCCUGAGCCUGUGCUCCAGGAACUGCAACUACUGAACUCUUGUGCUACAACUACUGAAGCCCACUCACCUUAGAGCCUGGGCUCCGCAACAAGAGAAGCCACCACAAUGAGAAGCCCACGCCUUGCAGCUAGAGAGUAGACCCAGCUCUGUGCAACUGCAGAAAAGGCCACAUAGCAAUGAAGACCGG